rnacentral:rRNA from 1 species
CCUACGGGGGGCAGCAGUGGGGAAUAUUGCACAAUUGGGGAAACCCUGAUGCAGCGACGCCGCGUUAGUGAAGAAGUAUUUCGGUAUGUAACGCUCUAUCAGCAGGGAAGAAAAUGACGGUUCCUGACUAAGAAGCCCCGGCGAACUACGUGCCAACCACCGCGGUAAUACGUAGGGGGCAAGCGUUAUCCGGAUUUACUGGGUGGAAAGGGAGCGUAGACGGCAGCGCAAGUCUGAAGUGAAAUCCCAUGGCUUAACCAUGGAACUGCUUUGGAAACUGUGCAGCUAGAGUGCAGGAGAGGUAAGCGGAAUGCCUAGUGUAGCGGUGAAAUGCGUAGAUAUUAGGAGGAACACCAGUGGCGAAGGCGGCUUACUGGACUGUAACUGACGUUGAGGCUCGAAAGCGUGGGGAGCAAACAGGAUUAGAUACCCGAGUAGUC